GUCCCCAUCGUCUAGCCUGGCCUAGGACAACAGCCUUUCGAGCUGUUGACGGGGGUUCGAAUCCCCCUGGGGACG
rnacentral:tRNA from 2 species